AUUGAACGCUGGCGGCAGGCCUAACACAUGCAAGUCGAACGGUAACAGGAAGCAGCUUGCUGCUUCGCUGACGAGUGGCGGACGGGUGAGUAAUGUCUGGGAAGCUACCUGAUGGAGGGGGAUAACUACUGGAAACGGUAGCUAAUACCGCAUAAUGUCGCAAGACAAAAGAGGGGGACCUUCGGGCCUCUUGCCAUCGGAUGUGCCCAGAUGGGAUUAGCUUGUUGGUGGGGUAACGGCUCACCAAGGCGACGAUCCCUAGCUGGUCUGAGAGGAUGACCAGCCACACUGGAACUGAGACACGGUCCAGACUCCGACGGGAGGCAGCAGUGGGGAAUAUUGCACGAUGGGCGCAAGCCUGAUGCAGCCAUGCCGCGUGUAUGAAGAAGGCCUUCUGGUUGUAAAAUACUUUCAGCGGGGAGAAAGGGAGUAAAGUUAAUACCUUUGCUCAUUGACGUUACCCGCAGAAGAAGCACCGGCUAACUCCGUG
rnacentral:rRNA from 1 species